rnacentral:lncRNA from 1 species
AUGGAUGUAGAAUCCCUCUACACCAACUUUCCACACAAAGAUGGACUACAAGCCAUCAGGAAUAGCAUCCCCGAUACCAUCACGGCAAACCUGGUGACUGAACUUUGUGACUUUGUCCUCACCCACAACUAUUUCACAUUUGGGGACAAAAUAUACCUUCAAGUCAGCGGCACUUCUAUGGGUACCCGCAUGGCCCCACAGUAUGCCAACAUCUUUAUGGCUGACUUAGAACAACGCUUCCUUAGCUCUCGUUCCCUAACACCCCUACUCUACUUGCGCUACAUUGAUGAUAUCUUCAUAAUCUGGACCCAUGGAAAAGAAGCCCUCGAUGAAUUCCAUCAUGAUUUUAACAAUUUCCAUCCCACCAUCAACCUCAGCCUAGACCAAUCCACACAAGCGGUCCAUUUCCUAGACACUACUGUGCUAAUAAGCGAUGGUCACAUAAACACCACCCUAUACCGGAAACCCACUGACUGCUAUACUUACCUACAUGCUUCCAGCUUCCAUCCAGGACACACCACACGAUCCAGUGUCUACAGCCAAGCUCUAAGAUACAACCACAUUUGCUCCAAUCCCUCAGACAGAGAUGAACACCUACAAGAUCUCUAUCAAGCAUUCUUAAAACUACAGUUCCCACCUGCUGAAGUGAAAAAAAAGAUUGACAGAGCCAGAAGAGUACCCAGAAGCCACCUACUACAGGAGAGGCCCAACAAAGAAAAUAACAGAACGCCACUAGCCGCCACCUUCAGCCCCCAACUGAAACCUCUCCAGCGCAUCAUCAAAGAUCUACAACCUAUCCUGAAAGAUGAUCCCUCACUCUCACAGAUCUUGGGAGACAGACCAGUCCUCGCUUACAGACAGCCUCCCAACCUUAAGCAAAUACUCACCAGCAACCGCACACCAUACAACAAAAACACUAACCCAGGAACCUAUUCUUGCAACAAAGCCCGAUGCCAGCUCUGUCUACAUAUCUAUUCAAGUGACACCAUCAUAGGACCUAACCACGUCAGCCACAUCAUCAGGGGCUCAUUCACCUGCACAUCUACCAACGUGAUAUAUGCCAUCAUGUGCCAGCAAUGCCCCUCUGCCAUGUACAUUGGCCAAACUGGACAAUCUCUACGCAAAAGAAUAAAUGGACACAAAUCUGACAUCAGGAAU